rnacentral:rRNA from 1 species
AGAAUCAACGCUGGCGGCGUGCCUAACACAUGCAAGUCGAACGAGAAAGUGGAGCAAUCCAUGAGUAAAGUGGCGACCGGGUGAGUAACACGUGACUAACCUACCUUCGAGUGGGGAAUAACCUCGGGAAAACCGGGGCUAAUACCGCAUAAUGUCUUCGGACCAAAGGAGCAAUUCGCUUGAAGAGGGGGUCGCGGCCGAUUAGCUAGUUGGUGGGGUAACGGCCCACCAAGGCAAUGAUCGGUAGCCGGCCUGAGAGGGCGCACGGCCACACUGGAACUGAAACACGGUCCAGACUCCUACGGGAGACAGCAGUGGGGAAUUUUGCGCAAUGGGGGAAACCCUGACGCAGCAACGCCGCGUGGAGGAUGAAGCCCCUUGGGGUGUAAACUCCUUUCGAUCGGGACGAUUAUGACGGUACCGGAUGAAGAGCACCGGCUAACUCUGCGCCAGCAGCCGC